AGAUCCCCUCCGUUAUCCCUUUUUCUCUCUCUCUCUCUCUCUCUCUCUCUCUCUCUCUCUCUCUCUCUCUCUCUUCUUUUCUUUUUUGUUUUCCUUUCUUCUCCAUAGACCUCACCUCCCACCAAACCCUCCCUCCUCCACAGCACGCCCACCUCCCACCUCGCCCACUCGCCCCCUCGCCACAGUUUUUGCCCGCCCGCUUGCUCUCUCACUUUCUCUCUUUCUUCUUUUCUUUUUCUUUUUCCUUUCUUCUCCACAGAGCUUACCACCAAACCCUCCCUCCUCCAUACCCUGCCCAUCUCCCAUCUCGCCCACCUUGCCCACUCGCCCCCUCGCCUGCUCGCUCGCUUGCUGGCUGGCUCACCCCCUCGCCUACUUCUCAGGUUUGAUUCUUUGUUUUUCUUUUUUUUAGUUGUUUGGUGAAUAAAUUAUAGGAAAAAAAUAUUAUUUGGUGAAACAAGUUACAGAAAAAAAAUUUUAUUCUAUUUUUAAAAAAUCUGAAAAAAAAAUCUGAUUUUAUUAUACAAAAUUUGAAUUUAUUAUAAAAUCUGAUUUUAUUAUACAAAAUCUGAUUUUAUUACUCUAGCAUCUAUUUUAUUAAUAUCUUGGCUACUUGCAAUUCUUGUCCUUAGAACUAUUGAUAUUGAGUAAGUGAUUACACAGGGUUCGAUUCUAUGAAAGGAAAGAUAGUGUGCGGAAUUCAUGUGUAUUAGCAUUCUUUGAUGAUUUUUUUCUAUUUACAGAGAAGGUUGCUUUUCUUAUUUCUUAACUACAUUUCUGCAAUUUUGAAUGAGAGUUUUUAUGUGUUUAAUGUUUUGAGUACAGUGAUUUAGAUUACUGAAAUCUAUAGUUGAUAAAUAUCAUGCGUUUUGCUUAUUUUAUUUUAUUUUUUAUUUUUUUUGAAGGUUGGAGUCAGGUGGAUUAGAUAAUAAUGUUGAGAUAGGUGAAGUCUGUCUCAGAUGGUCUGUCACAGUAAACUGAAAAGGAUGGUGCUACAUAUACUACAAAAGGCCAAGAAGAGGCAGAUAGCUCAAGUGACUCUGUAUGAAGAUAAACUUGUAACAUGCGUAAACAAUGGCUGAACUCGGCUUCUUGUUUGUAGUAUGUAUUUUGCUAGUAAUAACUCUGAAAUAAUACUUAUUAUCUGGAUAGUUUAACUUGUAGAAUGUUCAAGUGAUCUGGAUGAUUUAACUUAUUGUAGAAUGUUUAUCAU
rnacentral:lncRNA from 1 species